rnacentral:hammerhead_ribozyme from 1 species
GCACUGCUGAAGAGUCCCACAAUAGGACGAAACGGCUGUCCAGUUC